rnacentral:rRNA from 1 species
AUGGCGAUGGUGCUGGAUGCGUUUGCGUCCUACGUGGGACACAUGCUCGCGCAGCUAGCAGCAGAUGGAGUGGGGACGAUGCUGGGGGUCUCCGGCGAGAUCGACAAGAUGGGCGACAAGCUCCGGGACCUCAAAAACUUCUUGGCUGAUGCUGACAGGAGGAACAUCACCGAUGAGACCGUUCAAGAGUGGGUGGGGCAGCUCAAGCGUGCCAUGUAUGAAGCUACCGACAUCCUCGACCUCUGUCAGCUCAAGGCCAUGGAUCGUGGAUCAUCUACUACUCUAGAUGCAGGGUGUUUCAACCCCUUGCUCUUCUGCAUGCGGAAUCCCUCCCAUGCUCAUGAGAUCGGCACCCGCAUCAAAAAGCUCAACAAGAGGCUUGACUACAUCAAGGAGCGAAGUGCUGCUUUCAACUUCGUCAAUCUCGGGUCCUACGAGGAUCAUAGCAGCAAUGUUUGCAUUUCUCAUCAUGGUAAUCCUAGCCGGGAGACGGUAGGGGACUUUGACCGGUCGGCUAUUGUUGGAGACAAGAUUGAAGAAGACACAAGGGCACUGGUAGCCCAAAUCAUGCAGACGGGAAAGGAUGUCAACAAUGGCAUCAUGGUGGUUGCUAUCGUAGGUGUUGGUGGGAUCGGCAAGACCACCCUCGCCCAGAAGGUCUUCAAUGACGAGGCAAUCCAAGGUGAAUUCAGCAAAAAGAUAUGGUUGAGCGUCAACCAAAACUUCAGUGAUGUUGAUCUGCUGAGAAGGGCCAUCAUCGAAGCUGGAGGAGAUGCCCAACCACCUGAAAGUGCAAAGACCAGCCUUCAUGAAACCCUCAAGAACACAUUGAUUGACCACAAGACCUUUCUGGUAAUUGAUGAUGUGUGGAACCAUAGAGCAUGGGAUGACGUGCUGAAAAUACCCUUAGUCAAUGCUGCUGCUUCAGACAGCCGAGUCCUCGUCACUACCAGAGAUGAAGGUGUUGCCCGAGGGGUGAAAGCUAUCUGGCCGUACCACCAUGUCUACAUAUUAGCGCCUGAAGAUGCUUGGUCAUUGCUCAAGAAGCAGGUAUGCUCAAGUGAGAUAGAUGAAGACCACAUCAAUACGCUAAAGGAUAUCGGACUGAAAAUUAUACAGAAAUGUGGUUGUUUACCAAUUGCUGUUAAAGUGAUGGGAGGACUCUUGCGUGAAAGAGGGGGGCUACGUCGUGACUGGCAGCAGGUUUUGGAUGAUUCUAAAUGGUCAACAACUAAAAUGCCCCAUGAGCUCAACCACACAGUAUACUUAAGCUAUGAAUAUAUGCCUGCUAAUCUGAAGCAAUGCUUUCUGUACUACUCUCUUCUUCCUAAAAGUAGAAUUUUUACUAUGGAUGAAGUUGUUUCAAUGUGGAUUAGUGAAGGAUUUAUUCAUGGAAAUUCUAAUGAGUUAGAAGAUUUGGGAGAAAAUUACUACAAGGAGUUGGUAUCUAGGAACAUGAUAGAGCCAGAUAAAUCAUAUGUUAAUAUAUGGGUUUGCAACAUGCAUGAUGUUGUUCGCUCAUUUGCUCAGUAUAUGACUAAAGAUGAAGCACUC